UUUUCAAUUUAUAUACAGACUAUGAAAACACUGCUGUAGUUCUUUGAUUCUUUAAUAAGUUGUACAUGUUGUUGUGAUGUAACACAUUACUUUUCAUAAACUACAUGUACAAAAUGAAUGAAAGAAGGUAAGAUAUUAAAGUUACAUGUAUACUCAAAUAGUUAUUUUUACUUGUGAGUAAGUUGCAUGUAAUAUUUCAUAGAAAAUGAUUCUUCUUCUUGUUAUUGACUUACAAAUGUAACUCAGUCUCAAAUGAAAUGAAAGUUCAAAGAUUUAAGAAUACAAACAAGUACAUGUGUGCAUAAACAAAUAUUAAAAUAUUAUUGUCUACAUGUAUAUUAACAUUGCCAUGUAAAAUAUCAGAAUAUAUUUUAUAGUAUACAGCUGUUGACCAUUUUUACAACACAGACUACAAAUUUUGUGGUCUCAUUGAAAUUUAAAUAAAAGUCCUGUAUUUGCAGAUUUUUCCAUCUUUCAUACAUGUAGGUGUAAUUAAGAUUGAGCCAAACUGCAUGGAAAAAUGUACUGGAACAGUUUACUUUUAAAAUAUUGAUGUACUUUGUAAUGAGCACCAUAGGCUGAUCUAGGGGGCUGGGUGAAGACUGAAGCCCUUUUGGUGGAAAAAAAUUGCUUAAUUAUAUAUGAAAUAACUGAAGCAUGACUGAGAGCAGUCCCCUUAGGUCAGUCAGAGUACAACAAGUUCUGGAUCUGCCACUGAGCAUCUACAUGUAUACUAAUAUAAAAUACAUGACACUCUAAAUAAAAUAAGAGAAUAAAACAACCACAAACUUUUGAAUAGUUUACAAUCAGGACAACAACAACAUUGACCUUCUUCAUUUUUGGGGUCAAGGUGACAGGGCUGCCACUUUUUAAGAACAUCAUUGAUUAUUUCAAUCACAUUUUUUAGAUUGAAAUGCUUUUUUAAAAUUUAGUUACACAUUUAUGAUAAAUUGAUAAAGCUUAGAACAAUGUAAUAGUUUUGUUUUAAACUAUUUUUUAUAUCUGCAAUAAAAUGAGAAGUGUUAUUGUCUUUAUAAGACAUUAAUAUAUAAGUCACAUUUAAAUUGUACUUUUAAAUUGCAUAUAGUAAUUUUUUUUCUUAUAUUGGAUUUGUUUUUCACUACAUGUAUAACAUUAUAAUUUCAGGUUAGAAUGCAAAACUUGUGAAGAUGAAGGUUAUAAUUGUGAUCUACAUAUUGAUUAAUUUGAAGCAGAUUUUGUUCUUAAGAGUGAAAUAAAAAAAAACAGACAUGUAUUUUAGAAAGAUGUUCAACUAUUAACAAGACAACAAACAUAUUCAUUGUAUGACUGAGAGAGAAAUGAAUAUAAGUGUAAUUAAAGAGUAGACUCUUAAUUUUCUUUUCUAUUCACACUUUUAAGUAGCUAUAUAGCUAUAUUACCAAGCUCCAAUUAGACUCAUAUUUAUUUAACCCUCUUUCCAAUUUAUUUGCAAUCUUUGGUAAUCUUAUUCAAUUACAAUUUGGUGGUCCUUUGGUCAAUGUAUCUAGUG
rnacentral:lncRNA from 1 species